rnacentral:rRNA from 1 species
UCGGGAAUAUUGCGCAAUGGAGGAAACUCUGACGCAGUGACGCCGCGUAUAGGAAGAAGGUUUUCGGAUUGUAAACUAUUGUCGUUAGGGAAGAAAAAAGACAGUACCUAAGGAGGAAGCCCCGGCUAACUAUGUGCCAGCAGCCGCGGUAAUACAUAGGGGGCAAGCGUUAUCCGGAAUUAUUGGGUGUAAAGGGUGCGUAGACGGGUGUUUAAGUUGGUUGUGAAAUCCCUCGGCUCAACUGAGGAACUGCAACCAAAACUGGAUAUCUUGAGUGUCGGAGAGGAAAGUGGAAUUCCUAGUGUAGCGGUGAAAUGCGUAGAUAUUAGGAGGAACACCAGUGGCGAAGGCGACUUUCUGGACGAUAACUGACGUUGAGGCACGAAAGUGUGGGGAGCAAACAGGAUUAGAUACCCUGGUAGU